rnacentral:tRNA from 1 species
GCGGGAGUGGCGGAAUAGGAAGACGCGGCGGAUUUAGGAUCCGCUCCCGAAAGGGGUGUGGGUUCAAGUCCCACCUCCCGCA